GACGAACGCUGGCGGCGUGCUUAACACAUGCAAGUCGAACGGUAAGGCCCUUCGGGGUACACGAGUGGCGAACGGGUGAGUAACACGUGGGUGAUCUGCCCUGCACUUCGGGAUAAGCCUGGGAAACUGGGUCUAAUACCGGAUAGGACUCCUGGCUUCAUGGUUGGGGGUGUAAAGCUUUUGCGGUGUGGGAUGGGCCCGCGGCCUAUCAGCUUGUUGGUGGGGUAAUGGCCUACCAAGGCGACGACGGGUAGCCGGCCUGAGAGGGUGACCGGCCACACUGGGACUGAGAUACGGCCCAGACUCCUACGGGAGGCAGCAGUGGGGAAUAUUGCACAAUGGGCGCAAGCCUGAUGCAGCGACGCCGCGUGAGGGAUGAC
rnacentral:rRNA from 1 species